AAACAAAUCAUCAUUUUUUAAACUUAUUUAUUCCUCCUAAUACCCAAGAACAGACCGAUUACAUAAGAGAACCAAAUCGACAACGCCCUAAACAAAUUGGAAUCCCGGUUUAAAACACGAUUCAAACGCUCAACCUCCACAACAAACAUCACACGCAAGGAUCAAAUCAAAAUAGGAGAAUGAACACAAACAAAGCUAAAAUCCUAACAGCUAUUGAAAUCA
rnacentral:lncRNA from 1 species